rnacentral:rRNA from 1 species
UACGAAGGGGGCUAGCGUUGCUCGGAAUCACUGGGCGUAAAGCGCACGUAGGCGGAUUGUUAAGUCAGGGGUGAAAUCCUGGAGCUCAACUCCAGAACUGCCUUUGAUACUGGCAAUCUCGAGUUCGGGAGAGGUGAGUGGAACUGCGAGUGUAGAGGUGAAAUUCGUAGAUAUUCGCAAGAACACCAGUGGCGAAGGCGGCUCACUGGCCCGGUACUGACGCUGAGGUGCGAAAGCGUGGGGAGCAACAGGG